UACGUAGGGUGCAAGCGUUGUCCGGAAUUAUUGGGCGUAAAGAGCUCGUAGGCGGUUUGUCGCGUCGGCUGUGAAAGCCCGGAGCUCAACUCCGGGUCUGCAGUCGAUACGGGCAGACUUGAGUGUUGCAGGGGAGACUGGAAUUCCUGGUGUAGCGGUGAAAUGCGCAGAUAUCAGGAGGAACACCGGUGGCGAAGGCGGUUCUCUGGGCAUUACCUGACGCUGAGGAGCGAAAGUGUGGGGAGCGAACAGG
rnacentral:rRNA from 1 species